rnacentral:rRNA from 1 species
GACAACGUCGGGAAACCGGGGCUAAUACCGCAUAAGUUGUGGGUGUCGCAUGGCACCGACAAGGAAGCGGGCCUCUGCUUGCACGCUCGCGCUGGAAGAUGAGCUCGCGCCCUAUUAUCUUGCNGGUAAGGUAACGGCCUACCAAGGCAAUGAUCGGUAGCUGGUCUGAGAGGAUGGUCAGCCACACUGGGAUUGAGAUGCGGGCCCAGACUCCUACGGGAGGCAGCAGUCUAGAAGCUUCGGCAAUGGGGGCAACCCUGACCGAGCGACGCCGCGUGCGGGAUGAAGGCCUUCGGGUUGUAAACCGCUUUCGACAGGGAAGAAAUGCGUUCGGGUUAAUACCCCGGGCGUUUGACGGUACCUGGAGAAGAAGCCUCGGCUAACUCCGUGCCAGCAGCCGCGGUAAUACGGGGGAGGCAAGCGUUAAUCGGAAUCAUUGGGCGUAAAGGGCGCGUAGGCGGUUCCUUAAGUCAGGUGUUAAAUCCCACGGCUCACCCGUGGACCUGCGCCUGAUACUGAGGGGCUAGAGUGUACCAGAGGCAAGCGGAAUUCCCGGUGUAGCGGUGAAAUGCGUAGAUCUCGGGAGGAACACCUGUGGCGAAGGCGGCUUGCUGGGGUACAACUGACGCUGAGGCGCGAAAGCCAGGGUAGCGAACGGGAUUAGAUACCCCGCGAGGCCGGGCCGGAAACGGUGGGCACGAGGUGUGGGAGGGGAGCAACCCCGGCGGGGCCGGAGGAAACCCAGGAAGGGCACCGCCUGGGGAGGACGACCGCAAGGUGGAAACGCAAAGGAAGGGACGGGGGCCCGCACAAGCGGUGGAGCAUGCGGGUUAAGGCGACGCAACGCGAAGAACCGGACCGGGGCGGAACAGCACCCGAACGGGGGCCGGACCGCGGGGAAACUCGGGGGCAAGGCAGAGAGGGGCCGCAGGGCGGGCGGCAGCGCGUGGCGGGAGAUGUUGGGUGUAAGGCCCGCAACGAGCGCAACCCCGACCCGCGGGGACCAGCGGAGCAUGCCGGGGACGCUGAGGGAACCGCCGGUAGGUAAUGCGGAGCCACCCUGGGGAUGACGGCAAGGCAGCAGGGCCCGGACGGCCAGGGCGUACACGCGGGCGACAAUGGCCGGGACAAACCGGCGCGAGACCGAAAGGUGGAGCCAAGCGGAAAAAACCGG